AAAGCCUCGCGUGAGGGAUUGUAGCGGUUACCCCGAACUAAAAAAGCAGAAGUCUUACCUGAGUAAGACUUUUGCUUUUGUGGAGGCGUAAUAGCAAAAAGCCCGACCCCGU
rnacentral:ncRNA from 1 species